rnacentral:rRNA from 1 species
UACAGAGGUGGCAAGCGUUGUUCGGAAUUACUGGGCGUAAAGAGCGUGUAGGCGGCUUUACAGGUCCGUUGUGAAAACUCGAGGCUCAACCUCGAGACGCCGGUGGAAACCGUAAAGCUAGAGUCCGGAAGAGGAGAGUGGAAUUCCUGGUGUAGCGGUGAAAUGCGCAGAUAUCAGGAGGAACACCCGUGGCGAAAGCGGCUCUCUGGGACGGUACUGACGCUGAGACGCGAAAGCGUGGGGAGCAAACAGG